ACGUCGGACCAAGAGGCUUUAACUCCGAAUCACUUUAUUCUUCUGAGUUCAAAUGGGGUUAAGCAGCAGGAAAAAGCACUCACUACGGAAGGUGAAGCCCUGCGAAACGGAUGGAAUCUUUGUCGUUUUGUCCUGGAUCAGUUCUGGGCAAGAUAGAUUCGGGAGUAUCUACCGGACUUGACUCGACGGACCAAGUGGCAAGAAGAUGUGAAGCCUAUCCAAGAAGGUGAUGUCGUUUUCAUCGUGGGCGAGGCUAUUCGCAAUCAAUGGCCUCGAGGCAAGGUGUUGAAGGUCAUCCCUGGAAAAGAUGGUCGUAUUCGACAAGUGGAUGUUCAGACCGCUACAGGAAUUCUUCGCCGUCCCGUAGCGAAGCUAGCCGUGCUGGACGUACAUCCGAAAGGUAAUCCUGCUGGAUCGGAGCAGCAUUACGGGGAGGGGGAUGUUGCGGGAGGCGUUACAACCGUCAGCGCGGCAGCAGAAAUGGACCACAGGGAUGCUGCAGGUUUGACGGACGGCUUGUCACCCGUUAGCUUUAAUGGUAUGAGUAGAUGAAGAUAGCUCCAAAUGUCAGGUAGAAUAAACAAAAGUGAGAAAUGUGGCUAAUGAAUGGCAUGCAGUUGAAAGUUUCUUACUAAAAUUUGUUAAAACUACUUAAAUUUCUAAUUGGAAAACUAUGAAAUAGGAACCGUGAAUUGUAAUGAAUUUCCUAUUGCUUGUUAACUUCCAAGCAGAAUUUAUACUCUAACUAUAACUUAAACUACACAUCUAAUACGAUCAACAACGACUACGACUGUGAGUAAACUUAAAAUCUAUUGAAUGACUUAUAACUAAGACGAUUAUGUUGACUAAAACAGGUAGAUUGACUAGAUGAAUUAUCACAGGACGGUUGUCAGGACGGAAAGAAUUGACUAGAGACACGGAGUUGUGAGUAUUGAUUGAUCAUAGUUCAUUAAGGUCUGUAAAUCAUAAAAAUAUAUCUAUUUUAGCUUUAAAGCUUCUUCCGAAAUAAAUGGAUUCGCUAUUAGAACCGUGAUCGCUA